GAUGAACGCUGGCGGCGUGCUUAACACAUGCAAGUCGAACGGAAAGGCUCCUGCUUGCAGGGGUACUCGAGUGGCGAACGGGUGAGUAACAAGUGGGUGAUCUGCCCUGCACUUCGGGAUAAGCCUGGGAAACUGGGUCUAAUACCGGAUAGGACGAUGGUUUGGAUGCCAUUGUGGAAAGUUUUUCGGUGUGGGAUGAGCUCGCGGCCUAUCAGCUUGUUGGUGGGGUAAUGGCCUACCAAGGCGUCGACGGGUAGCCGGCCUGAGAGGGUGUACGGCCACAUUGGGACUGAGAUACGGCCCAGACUCCUACGGGAGGCAGCAGUGGGGAAUAUUGCACAAUGGGCGCAAGCCUGAUGCAGCGACGCCGCGUGGGGGAUGACGGCCUUCGGGUUGUAAACUCCUUUCGCUAGGGACGAAGCGCAAGUGACGGUACCUGGAGAAGAAGCACCGGCUAACUACGUG
rnacentral:rRNA from 1 species